AAGAGGUUUUGGAUACGAGAUAUGCAAAAAGAUAUCUCUCCCAUCUCUCUCAAAGCACGUGCUACAAUGGCCGGGACAAAGGGUCACGAUCCCGCGAGGGUGAGCUAACCCCAAAAACCCGUCCUCAGUUCGGAUUGCAGGCUGCAACUCGCCUGCAUGAAGCCGGAAUCGCUAGUAAUCGCCGGUCAGACGGACUUGCUUGC
rnacentral:ncRNA from 1 species